rnacentral:lncRNA from 1 species
AAUAAUAGGUUAAGAAUGUAAUUGAAAAUAAUUUUGAGAAAAAAUGGUGAAAAUUUGGGGUUGGAGGGUAUUUUUGAAAGAAAAAUCAGAAACUAGGAGUCAAAACAUAAUUAAAAAAAUUGUGAUACGUAGGACCACCCAUCAGUAGCCCCGACGGAUUGGAGUGCGUCACAUGGCAAGGCACGCUGACUUGGUGCCACGCGGGACGCCACGCUGGCUAUUCGCGUGCCUGCGAUCGAAUGGCCCGGAUGCAUUCCCGCAAGCGUGGAUGAUCCGGAUCCGUUCCCUCCUCAGGCACAAUCAGACGGUUGCAAUAAAAUAC